AUGGCGUCUCUCUCUGAUGCCAACUCCACCACGAACGGCGGCGGCACCGCCGCGGCUGCAGGAUCGGAUCUGGGAGAUUUCUUUGAUCAACUGGAUCUCAACGAGGAAGAGUUUGCUGAUGUUGAGAUUGAUGAGGACGACCCUGAGAUCCAGGAAAGCGCUCGGUCGCUUGCCCUUGCUAGGGUUCGUACAACCAAAAACUUCAGCCCUUCGGCCUUCUACAAGGAUAUGAGGGCCGCGUGGAAUCCGGCGCAAGGUGUUAGGUUUCGACCUGUUGGCCCUAAUCGUUUUUUCAUCCAAGCAUCUUGCUUGGGGGAUUGGGAACGCAUCAUGCUUUAGGGCCCGUGGUUGUUUCGUAAUAUGGCGGUGCUCUUGUGCCCGUAUGAUGGUUUUCGCAAAGCAGAAGAGGUAGAAUUCCAUCACCUGCCAAUUUGGCUGCAAAUCCACAAGCUUCCAGACCCGUACUGCAAGCAGAAUAUUGUGGAGAAGCUUCUGAAGAACUCCGGUGACAUAAUGGAGAUGUGCUUGAACGGGAACACUCGAGGUGAUUACGUAAGAGUGAGGGUGAUAUCCGUCAGGCUCUGA
rnacentral:rRNA from 1 species